GUGGGGAAUAUUGGACAAUGGGCGCAAGCCUGAUCCAGCCAUACCGCGUGGGUGAAGAAGGCCUUCGGGUUGUAAAGCCCUUUUGUUGGGAAAGAAAUCCUGUCGGUUAAUACCUGGCGGGGAUGACGGUACCCAAAGAAUAAGCACCGGCUAACUUCGUGCCAGCAGCCGCGGUAAUACGAAGGGUGCAAGCGUUACUCGGAAUUACUGGGCGUAAAGCGUGCGUAGGUGGUGGUUUAAGUCCGUUGUGAAAGCCCUGGGCUCAACCUGGGAAUUGCAGUGGAUACUGGAUCACUAGAGUGUGGUAGAGGGAUGCGGAAUUUCUGGUGUAGCAGUGAAAUGCGUAGAGAUCAGAAGGAACAUCCGUGGCGAAGUCGGCAUCCUGGGCCAACACUGACACUGAGGCACGAAAGCGUGGGGAGCAAACAGGAUUAGAAACCCCUGUAGUCC
rnacentral:rRNA from 1 species